GUCCUUAUAGUUUAAUAAAAACUUUAGUCUUGUAAACUAAAUUUGGGUCAGCCUUAGGACU
rnacentral:tRNA from 1 species